rnacentral:rRNA from 1 species
UACGAAGGGGGCAAGCGUUGUUCGGAAUCACUGGGCGUAAAGCGCACGUAGGCGGAUUGUUAAGUCAGGGGUGAAAUCCUGGAGCUCAACUCCAGAACUGCCUUUGAUACUGGCGAUCUUGAGUCCGGGAGAGGUGAGUGGAACUCCCAGUGUAGCGGUGAAAUGCGUAGAUAUUGGGAGGAACACCAGUGGCGAAGGCGGCUCACUGGACCGGAACUGACGCUGAGGCGCGAAAGCGUGGGGAGCAAACAGG